rnacentral:rRNA from 1 species
CACGUAGGGGACGAGCGUUGUCCGGAUUCAUUGGGCGUAAAGCGCGCGUAGGCGGCUCGGAAAGUCGGUCGUGAAAUGCCGGGGCUCAACCCCGGGACUGCGUCCGAUACUCCCGAGCUGGAGGCAGGUAGGGGAGAUCGGAAUUCCUGGUGUAGCGGUGAAAUGCGCAGAUAUCAGGAGGAACACCGGUGGCGAAGGCGGGUCUCUGGACAGUUCCUGACGCUGAGGCACGAAGGCCAGGGGAGCAAACGGG